rnacentral:rRNA from 1 species
UACGUAGGGUGCAAGCGUUACUCGGAAUUACUGGGCGUAAAGCGUGCGUAGGUGGUUCGUUAAGUCUGAUGUGAAAGCCCUGGGCUCAACCUGGGAAUGGCAUUGGAUACUGGCGAGCUAGAGUGCGGUAGAGGGGUGUGGAAUUCCCGGUGUAGCAGUGAAAUGCGUAGAUAUCAGAAGGAACAUCAGUGGCGAAAGCGACUUCCUGGACCAGAACUGACGAUCAGGCACGAAAGCGUGGGGAGCAAACAGG